rnacentral:misc_RNA from 1 species
UUUCCGUAGGUGAACCUGCGGAAGGAUCAUUAAUAAUAAGUGUUUUAUGGCACUUUUUUAAAUCCAUAUCCACCUUGUGUGCAAUGUCAGGGUUGAUUUUUCUCUCGAGAGGAUCAACCCCAAACAUCAACUAUAUCUCAACUCUUUGUCUGAAAAAUAUUAUGAAUAAAACAAUUCAAAAUACAACUUUCAACAACGGAUCUCUUGGCUCUC